GUGCUCAAACUAGUAACACAUGUACCAAAAUUAGAAUGAUACAGAGAAGAUUAGCAUAGCUCCUGUGCAAGGAUGACAUGCAAAUUCAUAAAGCAUUCCAUAUUUAA
ensembl:snRNA U6 U6 spliceosomal RNA